UUUUGAGGAGAAGGUCUUGAAAAUACUGAAAUGAUUGGAAGUCAACACCCAGACCCUUCACUCCCACACGCAAUCAUUAGCUAAGCUAGAGGCUCAAAUAGGUCAAUUAGCUAUAGCCUUCAAUAGGAGAGAAGAGAAAAAAUUGUCUAGCCAAUCUAUAAGUAAUCUGAAGAGGCACUACAUGGCUGAAAGCUCUACCGCCCA
rnacentral:lncRNA from 1 species